ACGCUGGCGGCGUGCCUAACACAUGCAAGUCGAGCGGGGACAUUGCGACGGAGACGAAGUACUCGUACGGAGUCAAAGAUGUAAUGUUCUAGCGGCGGACGGGUGAGUAACGCGUGAGCAACCUGUCCCUUACAGGGGGAUAACACAGCGAAAGUUGUACUAAUACCGCAUAAGACCACAGGAUGACAUCAUCCAGGGGUCAAAGGAGCAAUCCGGUAAGGGGUGGGCUCGCGUCCGAUUAGAUAGUUGGUGAGGUAACGGCCCACCAAGUCGACGAUCGGUAGCCGACCUGAGAGGGUGAUCGGCCACAUUGGGACUGAGACACGGCCCAAACUCCUACGGGAGGCAGCAGUGGGGAAUAUUGGGCAAUGGGGGAAACCCUGACCCAGCAACGCCGCGUGAGGGAAGAAGGUUUUCGGAUCGUAAACCUCUGUCCCAGGUGAAGAGGAAGAGACGGUAGCCUGGGAGGAAGCCCCGGCUAACUACGUGCCAGCAGCCGCGGUAAUACGUAGGGGGCGAGCGUUGUCCGGAAUGAUUGGGCGUAAAGGGCGCG
rnacentral:rRNA from 1 species